AUUGAACGCUAGCGGGAGGCUUAACACAUGCAAGUCGAACGAGUGGCGGACGGGUGAGUAAUGUCUGGGAAACUGCCUGGUAGCGGGGGAUAACUACUGGAAAGGGUAGCUAAUACCGCAUACCAUCGGAUCUGCCCAGAUGGGAUUAGCUAGUGGGUGGGGUAAAGGCUCACCUAGGCGACGAUCCCUAGCUGGUUUGAGAGGAUGACCAGCCACACUGGGACUGAGACACGGUCCAGACUCCUACGGGAGGCAGCAGUGGGGAAUAUUGCACAAUGGGCGCAAGCCUGAUGCAGCCAUGCCGCGUGUAUGAAGAAGGCCUUCGGGUUGUAAAGUACUUUCGGCAGAGAAGCGUUACCCGCAGAAUAAGCACCGGCUAACUCCGUGCCAGCAGCCGCGGUAAUAC
rnacentral:rRNA from 1 species